rnacentral:lncRNA from 1 species
AUGACCCAGGCCUCUGCUGUGGCCUCGCCGGACCCAGGGCUUCUGCCCUCCUCCGAAAUCACAGCACUCCCAGCCUUGCCCCCAGCCCAGGUGUCACAGGCCUUCAAGGAAGGGGGCAGCGGGCACAGCUCCAGGUGGCCAGGGUCCUCGGGGAUGUGGUGGAUCCGAAGCGCGGCCUCCUGUAGGGCACCAGGUUGGGGAGGCCAAGUUGUGGGGGGUCAGGCACGGUUCAGUGGGGGGCAGGUCGCGGGGCGAGGGCAGGUGGGUGAGGGGGACCAGGUUGGGGGAGCCAGGUCGGGGGCGCCAGGUGCGGGGACAUGCAGUGGGAGGUGGGGCUCAGACACCUGCCCCGAGCUCCCCCUUACCAGCACCUCCUCGGCACUGGCCAGGCGGGACACCGUGAUGAGGCGGAACUGGCUUCUCCUCACGGCGUCGUCACCAUCAAAGAUUUUCAGCGUUUGCUUCCCUGGGCCGGGGAAGUUCCAUGAGUCCAGAGCGCCCGGGGAUGUCAGGAGAGUUGCGGGGAAGGAGGAGGGCACUCACCGGACUCCGGAGUCGCCGGUGUGUCUCUGCCUGGACCCACGGCAGCGCUCCCGUCGGCGCCAUCGCCUCCCUCGCCUGCGGGUGGGGGACACGGACCCCUCACUCAGUGCGCAGCCCCCAGCCCAGGGCGCCCCGGCCGGCCCGCACCUCACCCGGCUCCACCGCCUCCGCGAUGCGGAAGCUCUGCGUCUUGCUGAAGCCACCGGGCAGGAGGCGCACGCACGCCGGGGGCAGGACCAGGGAGCGCAGACGCCCGAAGCCGCACUCGGGAGCCAGCACCGCGGAGCAGACGGAGUGCGCCUGGGGGGACAAGGGCCUGAGCUGGGGGGUCGGAGCCGGGGACGGGGGCACCAGGUGCGCUGGGUCCAGGGAAAGACCCCACACGUCGCAGACCUAGCCUGGACCCCGUGUCUUUCCUGCCUCCAGCCCCCGAGGGCCCACCUGGACCCCACGCCUCUCCUGCCCUGCCCCCUCCACCCUCCAGCGCCCACCUGGACCCCGCACCACUCGCAGCGCACUCCGGCCAGCACGUCAGAGGAGCCGCACGUCUUCCUGCAGACCUCGCAGCGCGCUCCUGAGGGCAGGUUCCCCUCCCGCCAGUGGUGGUGA